AUACGGAGGAUCCGAGCGUUAUCCGGAUUUAUUGGGUUUAAAGGGUGCGCAGGCGGCCAUUUAAGUCAGCGGUUAAAUCGUGGGGCUCAACCCCAUUCUGCCGUUGAUACUGGGUGGCUUGAUUGCGGUCGAGGUUGGCGGAAUUCGUUGUGUAGCGGUGCAAUGCAUAGAUAUGACGAAGAACACCGAUUGCGUAGGCAGCUGACCAGACCGCAAAUGACGCUCAUGCACGAAAGUGCGGGGAUCGAACAGGAUUAGAUACCCUGGUAGUCCGCACAGUAAACGAUGAAUACUUGUUUUCGGCGAUAUAAUGUCGGAGGCAAAGCGAAAGCGAUAAGUAUUCCACCUGGGGAGUACGCCGGCAACGGUGAAACUCAAAUGAAUUGACGGGG
rnacentral:rRNA from 1 species